rnacentral:rRNA from 1 species
UACGUAGGGGGCAAGCGUUGUCCGGAUUUAUUGGGCGUAAAGAGCGUGUAGGCGGCCAGGUAGGUCGGUUGUGAAAACUGGAGGCUCAACCUACAGACGUCGACCGAAACCAUCUGGCUAGAGUCCGGAAGAGGAGAGUGGAAUUCCUGGUGUAGCGGUGAAAUGCGCAGAUAUCAGGAAGAACACCCGUGGCGAAAGCGGCUCUCUGGGACGGUACUGACGCUGAGGCACGAAAGCGUGGGGAGCAAACAGG